GGGAUCAUGGCGAAAUGGCUACCGCGGCGGGGCACGACCCCGUUAUCACCGGUUCAAAUCCGGUUGAUCUCC
rnacentral:tRNA from 1 species